rnacentral:rRNA from 1 species
UACGUAGGUGGCAAGCGUUAUCCGGAAUUACUGGGCGUAAAGCGCACGCAGGUGGUUAUCUAAGAUUGACGUGAAAACUCUUGGCUUAACUGAGAGACGUCGUUGAUGACUGGAUGACUUGAGACGAGGAGAGGGGUGCAGAAUUCCCGGUGUAGUGGUGGAAUGCGUAGAGAUCGGGAGGAAUACCAGAGGCGAAAGCGGCACCCUGGCCUUAGUCUGACGCUCAGGUGCGAAAGCGUGGGGAGCGAACGGG